GAAUUUUAGGGCGUCUACUUCGGUAGAGCCUGACCUCCACUCUCUAACACUGUGCACUCAUUGGCGGGAAAAAUUAUAAAAGAGUAGUAAUACUUUGGAAUAUGAUUUCCUGCGGCUCACUUUAAACAUUAGUCAAAGUAUGUAACGAAAUAUCGAAAUAAAAAAAAACUUUCAACAACGGAUCUCUUGGCUCU
rnacentral:misc_RNA from 1 species